rnacentral:rRNA from 1 species
CCUACGGGCGGCAGCAGUGGGGAAUAUUGGGCAAUGGGCGCAAGCCUGACCCAGCAACGCCGCGUGAAGGAAGAAGGCUUUCGGGUUGUAAACUUCUUUUCUCAGGGACGAAGAAAGUGACGGUACCUGAGGACUAAGCCACGGCUAACUACGUGCCAGCAGCCGCGGUAAUACGUAGGUGGCAAGCGUUAUCCGGAUUUACUGGGUGUAAAGGGCGUGUAGGCGGGAAAGCAAGUCAGAUGUGAAAACCAUGGGCUCAACCUGUGGCCUGCAUUUGAAACUGUUUUUCUUGAGUACUGGAGAGGCAGACGGAAUUCCUCGUGUAGCGGUGAAAUGCGUAGAUAUGAGGAGGAACACCAGUGGCGAAGGCGGUCUGCUGGACAGCAACUGACGCUGAGGCGCGAAAGCGUGGGGAGCAAACAGGAUUAGAUACCCCAGUAGUC